rnacentral:lncRNA from 1 species
AAGUUCUACAUGGUACUGUGGGAGGAGUCCAAAGCUGUCGUUAGAACCUGUGUCUCUAAAGCCGUAGGAAGAAAAUGUCCAAGUACAUGAAGCAGAUGAUGAGAGCGGGUGAUGGGCAGAUGAUAGUAUUUCACUCUGGGAAAUCUUUACGUUCCUUCUCUCCCAUGGAUUGAAUCUAUAGCCUUUCAUGUUAGACUGUUCCUCCACCAGCCUACACUUCAGCCCCCAUGGGAACAACUGAAUGCUUGCUCAGAUCAGUAGCUCUCUAGGCGCCUUUGCUUUUAAGGGGAUUAUAGUUAAUAGUUAAUUUUUGUCAGGGAGCCUGAUUGGCUGUCAGUGACAUUCUGGACCUUGGUGGGAAUGGGAUUAAGUGCCUUUGGGUCAAAUUCCGGUGACUUAUCACACAUGAAGCCUGAGGAAAGGGGAGUUGGCUUGAUAACAGACACCACUUCCUCAGAAACCCAGUUAGAGUCUGGCUCUAACUGGCCCCAGCGCCCAGACAUGCAGUGUGGUUUCACUUCUGCAGCGGACUCAGACCCUUUGAGAAGUGACCCUUGCCACCUCCUGUCGUCAUUUCCAAGAGUCUCACGGUGUGUCGGAACAUUUAGCUGUUACUUUGGACCCCCUCUUUAGGGAAAAGAAAAUUGCUUACUGCUUGGCUGUUGAGAUGUGGCUGUCUCGUCAAAUUCCAUGAGCCUUGUGUUCCCCCACCAUCUUAUCUUCACGGGAUAGGACAAGCUCUCCUUUACAAACACUCCCAGGAACACAUUCUUUUCUUUCUUUCACUGUUCGGUAGUAUUGGGGAUGGAUGAGAGAAAGCCUUGCAUAUUCAACCUGCUGGUCAACCCAGAAUGCUCUGCUGCCUCACAACCUCCCUUAUGUGAAUCAGUCUCCUGGUUGCCACUGGGUAUACUAGGCUGGCUAGCCCACAGACCUCCAGGGGUUCUCCAGCCUUCAUGUUGUGCUAAGAGGACAGACAGAUGCUUCUACACCCUGCUGCAUGUGAGUUCUGGGGAUCUGAAGCCUGGUUCUCAUGCUUGCAGCAAGAGUUUUACACACUGAGCCAUUGCCAGCUCCCCAGCCCUCGGGAGGGUGGGGGGUUGGGUGGGGGGUGAUAUUUUCAGGUCAGGACCAUGGUGAGAAGUCAGCCUGAGAGAGUGAGUUCUUUGCUGUCAAGACUUGGCUUUAUCUUCCUAAUGUCAUGGCUUGGUUCUUAGCUGGCAAUAUCCUUGCACCUAGGUAGGUAUCCACUCACUGUCCAUGGGAACUUCCCAGCAUCCCACUUUCUUAAGAGAACAGGCCACAAAAACCACUUAUUUCCUUUAUUGAUGUUGCUAUUUUGUCUUUUUUAAAAAGUCAGCCCAAUUCAGAACACUUUUCUAGCUGUAUUUCAAAGGUCUGUACCUUGACUGAGGAUCUUUGUCUCAGGCAGCACCCCUGGAGAGGCAAUAAGACCCUCCACCCCCAGGUACCUGCUGCCCACAUCACAGUUGUUUUUCUUGUCUUCAUUUUCCUUCUUCUGAUAGCCGUAUUACAGAAGGCAUGAUUGAAUGAAUGAAUGACGUCCCGAGGUAUGUUUUGAGUUCUCUGAGAGAGGGUCUUGUCCAGUGCAACUGGUUAGUGUCAGAUGUCCAACUCCAAGUAGAAUCAGGAAGCCAGGUAUGUCCUGGAUGGCAUCCGGGUCAUUGCUCUGAGUGGCAGCAGGUAAAACCUACAAGGGAACCAACAUGUUACUGAGGGUCUUGCUAACCCCCUUUGAAGUAACUAAAGCCUCUUUGUGCCUUCCCUAAACGACCCUGCAUGUCUCUCCUCCAGGGCCUCCUGUGGUUCCUGGCUGAGGUGGUGUUGGGACUGUCUCCUUCAUUGCUUUGGUGUGGUUUACCACAGCCCCAGAGAUCUGUUUGGAUUCUGUUCUCUUAAACAUACAGUGCAAAUACUCUGCUGUGUAGCUUUGUGUGGCCCAGAACUACACAGAGCAGGCUAGCCUUGAACUCAGAUCUGUCUAUCUCUGCUUCCCCUGGGCUAGACUGCUAGUCUUUCUUAAAGCAAAGAUAAAAAUAAGAGAUAGACAAAUUGUAUUUUUAAAGUGCUUGCUGUUUAGUGAACUUUAAGAAGGGCUGGCUGUUCUUUAGGGGCAUUUAGACUCUGUCAUGAUUUUUGGCUUACAUUGGACCUUCCCUCGGGAACUUAGAAGACCCACAGAUAUGCCAAAGGAAGUGUGCUGGUGGGUUCAAGAAUUCUGGUUGUAUCUGUAUACCCAAGAAGGAGUUAAAUUCUUUAAAAUUACACUUAUCUAUGUGUAUAGGGGGUAGUGUGCGGGUUUGGAGGUUGAAGUAUAACUUUGGGGGUCAGUCCUCUCUUUCCACUAUGUAUGUGGGUUCCAUAGAUGAAACUCAGGUCUUCAGGAUCGGUGGUAAGCACCUGUACUAGGUGGUCCCCUGGCCCAAAGUGUUCUAUUUUACAAUAAGCUGACUUAGACAUGUCUUUCCCUCAUACUGGAUUACUUACUGAGCAUCAGUUAAAACUCCCAGUGAUCCCAAAUUUAAAACUUUAUUCAUCAUUGAAAUUCACAAUUUUAU